rnacentral:rRNA from 1 species
AUACGUAGGGGGCGAGCGUUGUCCGGAUUUAUUGGGCGUAAAGAGCGCGUAGGCGGCUCGUCAAGUCGUGCGUGAAAUACCCUGGCUCAACUGGGGGGAGUCGUGCGAUACUGGCGGGCUCGAGGUCGGAAGGGGGAAGUGGAAUUCCCGGUGUAGUGGUGGAAUGCGUAGAUAUCGGGAGGAACACCAGUGGCGAAGGCGGCUUCCUGGUCCGAUCCUGACGCUGAGGCGCGAAAGCGUGGGGAGCAAACUGGAUUAGAUACCCAGGUAGUCCACGCUGUAAACGAUGGGUGCUAGGUGUCGGGGGUAUCGACCCCCCGGUGCCGGAGUUAACGCAUUAAGCACCCCGCCUGGGGAGUACGGCCGCAAGGCUAAA